rnacentral:rRNA from 1 species
UACGUAGGGGGCAAGCGUUGUCCGGAUUUAUUGGGCGUAAAGAGCGUGUAGGCGGCCAGACAAGUCCGUUGUGAAAACUAGAGGCUUAACCUCUAGACGUCGAUGGAAACUGUUUGGCUAGAGUCCGGAAGAGGAGAAUGGAAUUCCUGGUGUAGCGGUGAAAUGCGCAGAUAUCAGGAAGAACACCCGUGGCUAAGGCG